rnacentral:lncRNA from 1 species
CCCCUCCCCUGCGUGGGGGCCCCCUCUGUCAGCUGCUCAAGGCCCGGCCCCGCGCUUGCCACUGUGGAUAAGUGGAAUCGUACUCCUGUGAGUACGCUUUCCCUUAUCGAAGGCGUAUUCCAUUUCUACUUCGGGCGAGAAUGCGUUUUCCUCUCUGGAAAAUGUAUUUCAGAAAAGGCGCGCUCUGUUUUUCCUGCUGAGGGCCUGUUUGUGAUGAUUUUAUUACAGAUAGGUCCCUGGCAGAAAAACAAUUGUAUCUUUUCAACCACAACUCCAAAUGAGGUGAAUCCAACGCUCACUUCUUCGUCUCGUCGAUACCGUUCUGUUGGUCACACUUUCUCCAUGUGUUAACAUUCUUAAAAUGCCCUUUUUGCCCUUGCACGUAAACAGCCCCUCCGGGAGAGAACUGUUUCCGGCAAAUCUUUUCGCGGCUUCACCGCACUUCUUCCCGGUGCCUUCUUCACCCCAAGGCAAGCCACAAUACCCACUUGCAUGAUAGUCAUGCAGUAGCCAUGGUUUUCAACUUGAAUAUUUAAGAAAUGUUUGCUUGUUUAAAAUAUGGUUAUCGUUGUUCCGGUGCUGCUUAGAGUUUCAUGUUCACUCUCGUGUUAUGUUGUCUUGCACCUGGUUAUCUUGUACUAGUUGCUAGUAUUCCUUUCAUAUGCUUAUGAUUGCUAGUAGUACAUGUUGAUGUUGGUGAUGGCCUUCGGUGCAUGACUAACGUCUGUUCCGAGCACCGUCGUUAUGCAUGUCCCUUUGCAUCCAGUUGGUUAAAUGAUUGCAUGGUAGCAUUGUUGAUAUGUCUUGCAUGAUAUUUAUUGUUGAUGCUAGUGGUCAUGCUAGGUUUCUAUGAGUAGUGUUGUACUUGUGAUAUUCAUGCUCGUCAUUAUACUAUGCUUAGUUGGAUAUGAUUCAUUGUGGAUAUGGUGGAUAGUUAUGUUGUACCCUCAUGAUUAUGUUGAUAUCAUGUUCAUGUAUUGUAAUUUGUAUCAUGUUAUUUUAUCAUGGCUCAGCAUAUUGCAUUCAAUUUUAACCGGAUUAAAUUGAACUUGAACACCUGUUGCCUGAGUCAUGGUGCCACCAUAUCGAUGCUGACCAGUGCAACCACGCUUACCUUUAUGGGAAGGUCCUAACUGGGUCUAUUGUCGUGCCUCUCGCCGGUGCCUCCGACGAGGGAAGGUUAUGGGCGUGCGGUACCCUGGCCCGGUAAGCAGACAUAACCUUGUGUGCCCGUAGAUGGAUGAUAAGCGCUUUUGUCCCUGUUUGGGACGGGCCACGACUGUGGUCGUUGUGCCUUUGGUAGGCACGGGGCCACCCAGGACUUAGCCCAAAAGGGAGUUGGUCGGAGUGGCCGGGAGAGUGUCAUGGCAGUAGAUCAGUUUUGUCGGAACGCCGUUGGUCCACCCGAAUGGGAGUGUGUGGCCAUGGGUUCCGUGGUGUGGGUAUAGUGUACUAACCUCUGCAGAGUGUAUAUUAAAUCUAUCGAUAGCCGCGCCUGCGGAUAAGGGCCCAGUUCGUGUCGGUCACACUGUGAGUCAACAGUAUUAAUAAUAAUGUGUUCAAUAACAACCCCAGUUUGAUGAGGAGAUAAGUUGGUUGUGAUCGCCGGAGUGAUCACCGUUGAGACAAAGUGUUGGUCAUGGUUGUGAUCGCCGGAAUGAUCACCAUGGUAUCGAGGAUACCGAGUUGAUGGAUAUUCGUGAUGUUGUGUGAAAAUCAUGGGUAAAGAUCAAGCUCCUUGUGGUCAUUUAAUGAUUACUACGGUAUUGUUUAUACCAAGUUUGAUAUUAUCCUGAGAUGAUCGUGUGAUGUCCGAGGUUGGUAAGUGAUGCAUGUGAUGGUUACGAGGUAGCCCGAGCAAAAUAAAUGGUGCAUAUAGUGUCAUCAUGUUGCAUGCUAGUAUCAUCAGAUUUAUAUUCUCAUAUUGUUCUAGCUGUAUCAUAUUGUUGAUGCCAUGUUAUCCUGAUGACUUCAUGAUAAUUCAUGCUUGACCUGUAAUUGCCAUGCUGUUGUUUUUCUUGAAUGCUUCUGGUUAUUGUGAGCUUGCAAGUACGUUCAAUGUACUGACCUGGCGUGUCAUGCCAGUUUGCAUGUCGUGCCUGGAUUGCUUGCUUGUUUGGUGUUGUUCCUGUGUUCGGGAGCUACGAUAAGCGUUCCAGCCAGAGUCCCUGCGGAUUGGAGUCCAUCAUCGUUGUUCGUUGUUCCACUGCCAGUAGUUGUUCCGCUGCUUCGAGUUGCUAUGCUGCUUGUAUAGAGCAAGCGUGGUUGGCAUAGUGUCGCCGUGCCGAUGUUAUUCACUGUAAUAUCGGAGACCUUGUAUUCAUAUUCGUGUUGUAAUAGAAAGCUGGUUUGUUCUAUGCUAAGCAGUGCCGUAUUCCAGAAGACUUCUCCUCGAUCUCUGGGCUGGAAUACAGGGCGUUCCUGUUUUCUUUGAGCCCGGGUGCCACAGGCUUUGUAUCAGAGCAGGUCUGGCUGGAGGAUGCCCUAGCCCGCGCGAACGAUAGAAAGCGGUAGUAUAGACCCCAGUUGGUUUGUUGCACUUGAUUGUUGCAUUUGUGUGUUGCAUAGCAUGCAUAUAGAUUAUUAUUUUGUCACUAACGGUUAAUCUUGUGAGUGUAGGUGGCAUCGUUUUCGGUCCACCGCCUGCACCCUCCUUCUUAGCAUGUCUGCUCUUUGGUGUUCGGCAUCAUCUCUGUCCCACCAGAGUGAUGCCCUGGUACCCAGAGUUCCAAACACCAUUUGCAGGAGUUAUGCUCAGGUAUUGCGUAGAUUUUUCCGCCACCCACCCAUAUUAUUUCGGUGAUAGACUUGUUUCUAUCCCGAAUCAUGCCAUCCAUCUCGUCCCUCUGGCUACCCUUACUGAUCUUGGUUAUCAAAAAAGGGCAAUGCCAGCGAGCCUUGUUUUUUCACCGCUACCCUACCCAGUCAUUCUAUUCUUUGGACGUGUACGAAUCCCUUUCGUUCGCUUGAUGAUGGUGUGGUCGUGACUUUUGUGUCUUGCUACUUGAUCGUCAAGUCCGUCCUCACCUGUGUAUCCAUCCAGAUCCAGCUACUAUUCAGCCAGUGCUUGGUGUAGCUUUGGUUACGCCAACUCCUUCCACACAGGGAUAUAAUUUUCGUGCACACCGCCACAUCUUAUUAGACCGUAAUACCGGAGUUUCCGCGCGAUUUGUGUGCUUAGGUGUGCAUGCAUAUUAUGGUGUGAGUAGCAGUAAUAUGUGAUGAUUGCUUGAUUAAUUAUAUUAGUAGUAUGCUUGUGUGCUUUGUUUUAGUCGUUUCUUUUGUUUCUUUCUUUGGGCCUUCGGUGUUACAAUUUUUCCCCCUAUUAAAGUUGCUCGUCAGCCGACACUGGACCCGAAGAGUCAGCAAGAAAUGCAUAUAUUUGGAAACUCCGCUAAAUAGAAUGGAAUAGUCAGCAGACUGCAGUGAAAUUGGAAAUAGCUCGUCUGAAUACAAAAGAAAUCCUGGAUGGAAUGUCAGUAUAAAGUUUGCAUUAACGUGCACUCCUCACAACAGUAUGGAAUUCUCAGCCGACUGCAUUCAGAUAGGGGGAUAUUUGAUCAUGUUACUGGGUGUCAAGUUUCUCUCAGUGUGCACUCCUCAUAGCAGAAAUGAUCAAAUCAGCAAGAAGAUAAAUUGUGUGCAAGGUUGAUAGAAUAUUAUCAAAGGUAUGGCUCAGAUACAAGUUUAAUUUUUCAUUGAGGAUGAUUUUGGAACCCGAUGUACCUGGAAGCAAGCAAAAAUAUGGCAUGUACUCAGAAAGGAGGACAGUCCUGCAAAACCCCGUUUCAUACAAGAAAUCAAUAACAAAAAUAUUAAGAUGGUUAUAUAUGUGGAAAUCGGUCCGCAUAUCACAAUAAGAAGCUUCUGGUGUAAGCAACCCAAUCUUCCCUCGCAAGAUACCCGAGAAGCUUCCAAGGCAAGAUUAAUCUAUCUUCCUCAGUACGAUACAUGGAUGAUUUCCGUACAAGGUACUCUGCCUUCUUCAGUAAGAAACCGCAAAAGCUUCCGGCAUAAGGUACUGAGUCUUUCCCCAGCAAAGUCUUUAAGGGGGUAAGCUUUUGAAGCACGAUACCUAGUCUUCUUCAGCAAGCUGUCCGAUGAAAGUUUCGAGCACAAGCCAGCCAAUCUUCCUCAGUAAGACAUUGGUACAAGGUAGUACGCUGUGAAUUAACAGCAUAUGGCAGUGAAUCCCAAGAAUCAGAUCCACAACAUUUUGGUCAGAAGCAAGAAUCAGUCAGAAUACACGUCUGUCUCGGGAACCAGAUUCUCAUAUAUAUAUAUAUAUAUAUAUAUAUAUAUAUAUAUAUAUAUAUAUAUAUAUAUAUAUAUAUAUAUAUGCGGAGAGCAUACCACCAAGAUCUUACAAGUCACUCGGAUGAGGAUCUGAGAACCACGUGAGGAUGGUUAAGAGAAGAAAGCCAGUAUACACCACAGUGUGACAAAGGAUUAUGAGGAUUGACGACAUCAAUGAGCUCAAUACAAGUACCGGUGAACCUGGAAAAUGAUCCUGAUGAGCCCUUGUCCCCUUUUUCUCCAAUAACGGCACCACGCCUGUGAUCUAAGCUGUUUUUAGCUAUCCAGGGUGGAUGCCGAUUUUUAUUUCUCUCUUCAACGACUGUCAUGAGUUCUGAGCUGCUUUUCGGCCAUCUCAUACAGCUGUUGAGUUUCUUUUUGUGAUAGUAGCCCAAUAGCUGCUUUUUGGCUAUUUUAGGGAGCUGCCACCUUCUUCUUAUCAACCCGGUCUCAUGUUCUGAGCUGCUUUUUGGACGUCCUGAGCCGUGGUUGAGUUAUUUCAGUAAUGUCCCAGAUCUGAGUUGUAAAGACCGUUCUGGUGGCUACUGAUUUAUUUGCCAAUUUCUUGCAAAGGUUCGGAUGAUCAUUUUCCCGCGGUCAGAACUUGAGGGGUGUUGAACCUGCCAUUUAAUGGGGUACCCUAUCAGAAAAAUGAGGAUAAGCUUGGAUUGCGAAAAUUGCACCGACAGUACCUAUGGUGAUACGAAGAAGCAAUAUGACCCAGCUCUUUCAGCCAAGGAUCCAGACCAAGAAAACAAUAAUGAAGGAGCAAGACUAGUGAUGCAGGUAUGAAAAUUGUUGCAAGACCUGCAUGGUGCAGAACCACCGUCAGUCAAGUCUGCAGAUAUUAUCAUACAGGUCCAACUCUUAUGCUAGCCAUGACAGGCGACAAUCAAAUAUUUGGUACGGAUCCGAUACUCAAGACAGUGGAGCUAGCCAAAAUAAUUCAGAAAUUCUCGUGAUAAGUCAGAAUCUGUCAGGAAAACGGUUAUGCCUCCACUCAUUGUUUGGAAUCCGAAGGACCUGUAUUUAGUGGACAAACCCAAUGCAAGGAGUUAGAGCUUGGGUGUCCACUAGAAAAAUCUGAUCACCACUUCAUGAAAGAUUGUCAGUGUCGGCUGACACACCCAGCGGAAAUCACUCUUGGAUUUGUGAGACCAACAUAUAUUUCAGUCGUGAGAAUCAAUCACUGUCAGCUAAGUCAGCAGAUCUAAAAAGAAAUUGGAGCAUGUAUAAGCAUGAACAAGCAAGGUAAGAUCUGUCAGAAUAUGGAUAUAUUAAAGCAAACCACCCCACGGGCAGUCAGAUAAAAACUUAGUGGGAACAAAAAUAAGAAAAAGGAUACCCGAGUUGGAAACGGUUUCCUUAAGUCAGUAUCUUCAUACUUGUUCCCUGAGCAACCAAAUCUCGAGGACGAGAUUUCUUUAAGGGGGUAAGGUUUGUGACACCCUGAUUUUUGGCCCUUUCUUUUUCUUUUGUUUUUCUAAGGUUUUUGCUUGAGUUUUCUUUUUCCGUGGCUUUGUGGUCUGGAAACUGAAGAAGUUGCCCUCUUCAUUGUUUCCAGAGUGGCUUGUCAUUCCCAAACCCUUCCCUAGGCCCUGUCAUUUUCAUCCUAGCCCAAAUCCCAAUAUUCUUUUUAUUGGGAAUAUUCCUUUUCUAUUAAACGAAUAACUCAAAUUUGCCCUAGGUUGUGAAGCAACCUUUAUUUCCAUCACUCCCACAAUUCCCAAAUAAUUCUCAUAAAUUGUUUGGGUCAUAUCUUUCUCAAAUAUGGCAAAAUAUUUCAUUUGUCAUGUUUAUCAUCAUGCUCAAAUAAUUCAUUUCCUAUUCUGCCCUAAAUGUCACAUUGUGAAGCAAGUGCUAUUUUACUUUUCCCAAUUGACCUCAAACUCCUUGGACACCUUUUCCUGUCCAUAUCAUUGCCACAUCCCAAAAUGCAACCUCAUUUGCCUAGUAAUUAUUUAAUUACGAUUUUCCAAAGUUUCUAUCCAGAAAGAAGCUUUGUGAAGGAGGUGCAAGCUAGGCAUAUCCAAAUGAGUUACCAUUUUGCAUGAUCCCUCACAUCAUCAUAUCAUAGCCUUCCACCAGGGUAGAGCUCAUGUCAUGCCUCCAUGUGAGCUCAUCUUCAAUUCUUUGAUUCUGUCAAAAAUUUCAGUUUGUGAAGCAAGUAUAUUUUAUCUUGCUCCAUCAUGGCUGCCAAUUUCUCUAGGCCUUAUAUUAUCCAUAUAACCUACCUCCACCCAUUUUGGGCAUGGGUCAUCAAGCCAUUAUUCCUCUAGAAUUUUUGCAAGUUUCUAUCCAAAGGAGAUGUUUGUGAAGCAAGUACCAGUUUGGCUUGGCCAAUUGGUAUGAGACUUUCUGAGCAUCUUCAUAGGACCAAAUGAAUCUGCCUUGCCCAACUUGAGAUCAGUUUGACACUCCAUGUGAGUGCACCUUCCUGAUCAAGUUUCUGGACCAGAUUAUGCAGUUGCAAAGCAAGUGCAUUAAAUGUUGGUCCAUUUCCUGCCAAACUCCCCAGUAUGGUAGUUCUUCCUAAGCUAAUCACCCCAGACAACUCAUUUGGCUCUAAUCUCACCUCAGUUGAUCACUGUUUCACGGCCAAGUUUACUGCAGUAAACUUCAGAGGUUGACUACCAUUUAACCACUGCGUCUUUAACCAAGUUACCACCUACGUUGUAACCUACCCAGGAAGGACUCCACCCCAGACAUCGUUUGGCAUUGCUUGUGACACUGUGUGCACCAGUGCACGCGGUGACCACCGCUUUGGCAUGUAGUGCGCGCGUCCAGAGCGUCUUCUUGCUCGGGCCCCUCCUCUACUCGGCGUCUCAGCGAGGACGGGCAUGUCCCCUAGCUUCCUCUCGUCGUCGCUGUUCUCCUGGACCCCUCUCCCCCUCCUUCCACUUCCUCACCAACGCAAGCCGAUGCUCGCCCACGGGCGCACUGUGGCGACCGAGCAUUAAUGGCGUCGUGGCUUCUUCCUCUUCUUGUCCCCGAGCUCCGCUCGUCUCUGUGAUCUCUGCGGCUCAUCCGCACCCCCCCCCUCGUCGCGUUCCCGCGCCUCCCCGUGAUCGCUGGCCGUCGCCAGAGCCUCGGCCGGACGUGCCCGGCGACACCCGAGCCCGUGCCCCUCGCCCGCGCCUAUAUAAGGAAGCCCCAACCCCCUCCGAGCUCGUCACCAGCCUUGCCACGCUCCACUACCCCUCCCCAGCCUCUCAUUCAAGCUCGAGAGCUCCUCUUCCCUUUGUUGGCCGCCAUGGCCGUCGCUCCCCUCCGGCUAAAUUAGACCGAAGCCGAGCCCUCCUCCACCUCUAGCCACCACCAUUGCCUUGCCCGCACUCCGGCGACCCUCCUCGUGCCCUUGCCCCCUCGCCGGAGCCUCCCUAGGGCCGUGCCCAGAAGACCGCCACCGCCUCUUCUCCUUUUUGUCGCGUCGCCGCGCGCCCAUGUCGCUCUUCCUCCGACGUCGUUUCUUUCCUGGAUGGAUGCGCCAUGCCCCGCGUGCCCGCCGGUGGUCUCCACUUGGCCGGAGAUCGCCGGAGUCGGCCGCUCCAUCGCCGGCAUUGCCCUGCCUCCCGCUCCUCUGUUUCCCACUGGGGGAGUAGCGAGGAGGAAGAAGACGCCCAGCUGGCCCCCUCCCCCUGCGCACGGGCCCCCUCUGUCAGCUGCUCAAGGCCUGGCCCCGCGCUUGCCAGCAUGGAUAAGUGGAAACGUACUCCUGUGAGUACGCUUUCCCUUAUCGAAGGCGUAUUCCAUUUCUUCUUCGGGCGAGAAUGUGUUUUCCUCUCUGGAAAACGUAUUUUCAGAAAAGGCGCGUUCUGUUUUUCCUACUGAGGGCCUGUUUGUGAUGAUUUUAUUACAGAUAGGUCCCUGGCAGAAAAACAAUUGUAUAUUUUCAACCACAACUCCAAAUGAG